CUCGCGUGUAACUCGUAACGCUGGCAUUACGCGCUCGCGCGUACGAUGUUAAUUGGAAUUACACAUGUGUGGUCACACGCGAACGCCUGAUCUUGAGAGGCGUCCUGGCCGGCCUGGGCAUAUGAUGUACACGCUCCGUACCGCGCCAUCCAACCGAACAGACAAGGACGAGCUCGUCCUCUCACUUGAAAGAUCAUCCUCGGCCAGAAUACAUCGCGGAUGGUUCCUUCUACGGUUCAGACGCAACACGCGAUACUAAUGCGUCCGUUCUGCGUAGGCAAAACGUGUUGCACGGAACUAUAGUGGAUACGAGAGAUUUGUCCGUUGAGGGUCUUUUGUUUUCUUUGCUUGAUUUCAGACUUCAAGAGGAUAGGUUGGGAGGAAGACAACGAGGAGAACGAUCGAAUGCAAUGUUGAAAUGAGAAUGACUAACACUGACUCACUGGUAUUUUGCAUUCAGAAUGUACAUAAAUUCGAAAAACAAAGACAGAGGAAGAAUUUGUUCAUUAAAAAGCUUUUUGCACUCGAGUUGCAGAUAAAUAACGCGAGAUUCUUGCGAGGCACUCCUAGAUCUCUAAAAACUCGGAUACCGAAGACACGGAGGAACUAACAAGCGCUGACUCACGGGGACACUCGCAGCGGGAGAAAAGAUCUCGCGAGCGGCGAACGCAUUAAUCGUCGUCCUUAAUUGGGCCAUGUCGUUAAGCAAGGAGUGCGACGAAACUGGAUAUCGCGUAAUUGAUCGCAAAGCGUACGAUUGCACCGUGCAGGGAACACGAGCGCAAGGUCGGUCGUCGCGCGCGUGUGCCUCCGUGUGUCGCAAUUACUCCCACGUCACCACCGCGCAUUGAAAUCACCAGCGAAGAAGCGCGACGGAAACAACUCCAGUUUUUUCGACUUCGUUCAGCAGCAAAUGGGUCAUUUCUGAACCGGGUUAAUGCAUGAAAUUGUUGGAAAAAUGUGGAACAUUGUACGAAUCGUCGUGUU